CCUUGGCAGUGGAGGUAGUGGUAUCUCACUGGAGAGCUCUGAAUACCUGAGGACUUCCAAAAAAAGAACUUGAAGAGGAAUCAUGUGCUUAUCACCAGAAAGAUAUUCAUGGAGAUAAGAGAAUCAUAGGUGUUGAAAAGAACCUCGGGGGAUCAUAAAAUCCAACCCCAAUGAUAAAGCAGGUUCCCUAAAGUAUGUUGCACAAGAAUGCCUCCAGGCAAGUCUGAAUAUCUCCAGAGGAAAGACUAUAACCUAUUAUUAUUAUGGAUAUUUGUAUACCUGUUACUUAUCGGUGGGGGUGUGGGAGGAAGUGAUCUAACUGUUCAGUUUCUUUUUUUUUUUUUUACUUUAAUUGGCUUCUUUUCAUACUGUGAUAGUGUUACAGUCUUAAACACUUACUGUUCUCAUCUUUCUUUAAAAGUGGGUGUUAAGGCUUCAGUAGUUGAUACAACUUUUAUCAGCUAUGUGCCCUUCUGUAAGUGAUAUAAUGAUACUGUCAUCCUGAUGCAGAAAGAUGAUAUAAACUCUCUUGAAAAUACUUCAGAUGUUCAUGUCAGCGCCUGCCUUAGAAUGACAGGAAAUCACCGAGCGCAGGGGCAGAUUGGGAUUCUUGAAUAUCAGGGAUUCUCAAAGUACUAGAAUUCAUUAGUGUGUAUUUCUACACUAAUGUUUUGAUGUUCCAUUAAGAAGUGAAGGACCUGAAAAUGGUAAAAUUAAAAACAACAAAGUGUAGCUUUGAAAACCUUAACUUCAGUCUCAGCUUCAUAAUCUAAACUUAACUACUCUGUGUAACAACUCUAAGUCAAAUUAUCCCAUUAUGGGCUGGUUAAUUUUCUACAUUUAGUGAUUUACUACAUUCAGUUACUCUGAAGGAAUUAAUAUAAAGUAUCUAUGUUAAAUUUAUUGGUAUCAUACAGUGAAUUUUGUGAAGUGCUUACAUUAUAUUUUAAAGUAACUCAAAAUAGCUGCUCUACAGAUUUUUUUUAGUCUACCACUCUUUUCCACGCACUUAACAAAGGCAAAGUGUAUAUAAAGACAAGCUGAUCUCUGUACUGUCAUGUUUGAAUUGUAAUUUCAGCACUGUCUACAAAUGUUUUCAUAUGGACAUAUACAAAACUGUAUCAGUUAAGUAAUUUCAUGGCCAUGCUCUUACUGUCUUUGAUCAAUUAGGUCAUUGUUUCUAGCACGUUCAUUAUGUAAUAUUCAAGUAGGUCAGUCUGUGAAUACUGCCAGAUCCAACUGAGUGAUGUUGAACACCUGGGCAGAAUCACGUUGUGCUCAUCUGUUGUACAGCAUGUUCAGGGAUGUUAAGCAGCAAAUAAACUCUGCUAAUGUUGAUAAAGGGUUUACCCAAAGGAGUGUGCACACUUUUAGACUCAGUUCUUAGACUCAGUAAUAUUUUCUCACUAUAGUACUCCUGUGUUAAUCAACAAACCUUCCCAUGGCAGUGAGAAAAUAAAAACAACUAGUAAUCUGUCAGAAAAAUCCUUCCACUUAGAAUUCUGAUAGUGAAGAAAUUGUUUAUGAUACGAUUAUUGAAGGAGAAGGAAAUAAGGUUUUCCCAGUCAUGCUUUGUUUCUCUAUGUUUCUCAAGGUAUCAUGCAGUUCUAAUUCCAUUGACUACAUUGGUUGAGAUUACCGAGAAGGAUGAGAG
ensembl:lncRNA